GAGGGUUUAGCUUAAUCUAAAGUGUCUGUUUUGCAUGCAGAAGAUGUGGAUUGAAGUUCUGCAACCUUUG
rnacentral:tRNA from 1 species